ACGGACGCUACUGACGGAAGAAAAUUGUGUUUGAUGACGGAUUUGUUUACUCGUACCUACAAGCAAUUGAAAAUUGGUUAUUAGUCAUACCCACAGUAUUCGCAAUUUAUUAUGUAUUGCUAAUACAGUAAUACUCCGAAGUUACGUCGUAAAUUCUUUCGCAAUAAACAACGUUAGUUGAUACGACCUAAGCGAGCGCCUGAUGCUUAGGAGCAGCUGAGGAGAGUCAAAAUGAGAUUAGGCCAAACAGACGCAAGUGCGAAAUAAUGUAAGUCAAGGGGUGACUGUAAAUGUUUCCGACUCCCUGCGAAAGCCUUUUUGCAAUUUUCACCACAGGCGAUGUAAAAAAAAAAGUGUGACAAGUGCCAUUCCGAACAGUUCCUUUGACACUUGUUUUAUAAUUCUUCAUUGCUACGUGAUUUGGCAAUAACUUUUUUCUUUGCUGCGUAAGGAAACCAUUUACUCUUGUAGGGAUUCAGGGAUUUCUGAACGACCUUGUAUUACGUAUGGUGUUUUGUUUUUACUGAGCUGGUAGUCAUAAUACCGUUUAUUACGCCACAACUCGUCACGUUAAAAAGGAAGACGUGAGUCGUGACUAUCGUAAAUCAAGAGAACAUUUUAUAGAGAAAAAAAGUAUGUUCAAAUAACUGAUUUCACAUAACUUACCUGUUCUCACUGUUACUGUAGGUCUUCAAAGAUCCCGGUUGUGUGAAUAAAGGACAUAUAUGAGCCGCUCAGUGCACACAUCGAUUAACUCCACUUUUUGAAAAAUCUUAAAUUUAAGUGUCAAAGCACUUGGUAUAGUCAUAACUUUUUAUAUUUAUAAUAACUUCCGUGAAUAAUAAAGA